UACAGAGGUGCCAAGCGUUGUUCGGAUUUACUGGGCGUAAAGGGCGCGUAGGCGGUAUGACAAGUCACUUGUGAAAUCUCCGGGCUUAACUCGGAACGGCCAAGUGGAACUGUCAAACUAGAGUGCAGAAGGGGCAAUCGGAAUUCUUGGUGUAGCGGUGAAAUGCGUAGAUAUCAAGAGGAACACCUGAGGUGAAGACGGGUUGCUGGGCUGACACUGACGCUGAGGCGCGAAAGCCAGGGGAGCAAACGGG
rnacentral:rRNA from 1 species